rnacentral:rRNA from 1 species
CCCUUAGAUGUUCUGGGCCGCACGCGCGCUACACUGAUGCAUUCAACAAGCCUAGCCUUGACCGAGAGGUCCGGGUAAUCUUUGAAACUGCAUCGUGAUGGGGCUAGAUUAUUGCAAUUAUUAAUCUUCAACGAGGAAUGCCUAGUAAGCGUGAUUCAUCAAAUCGCGUUGAUUACGUCCCUGCCCUUUGUACACACCGCCCGUCGCUCCUACCGAUUGAGUGGUCCGGUGAGGCUUUGGGAUCUGAGCAAAAAGAGCGCUUCGCUCGUUUGGCUCGGAAAACUCAGUCGAACCUUAUCAUUUAGAGGAAGGAGAAGUCGUAACA